rnacentral:rRNA from 1 species
ACGAACGCUGGCGGCGUGCUUAACACAUGCAAGUCGAACGGAAAGGCCCUGCUUUUGUGGGGUGCUCGAGUGGCGAACGGGUGAGUAACACGUGAGUAACCUGCCCUUGACUUUGGGAUAACUUCAGGAAACUGGGGCUAAUACCGGAUAGGAGCUCCUGCUGCAUGGUGGGGGUUGGAAAGUUUCGGCGGUUGGGGAUGGACUCGCGGCUUAUCAGCUUGUUGGUGGGGUAGUGGCUUACCAAGGCUUUGACGGGUAGCCGGCCUGAGAGGUGACCGGCCACAUUGGGACUGAGAUACGGCCCAGACUCCUACAGGAGGCAGCAGUGGGGAAUAUUGCACAAUGGGCGGAAGCCUGAUGCAGCAACGCCGCGUGCGGGAUGACGGCCUUCGGGUUGUAAACCGCUUUCGCCUGUGACGAAGCGUGAGUGACGGUAAUGGGUAAAGAAGCACCGGCUAACUACGUG